AUAUCAGAUAGGGCAAGGCUUAUAAAAGCCACUAAAGUCACCCCCCCCCUUGCUUCCUCCCAGGCACAUAAGAAUUCAUCUCGCGAUGUCAUCCACUCAAGGGCACGAGCUUCCAAGUCUCCUUGGGUAACUAAUUUUAAUACCUGACAACACUUUCUGUCAUGAUGUUUUCUCUUGCAAACAAUGCAACUGAGCUGCCUCUUGUCUUUUUUUUUUUUUUCCCAAACCUUAAGGAACAAGGUGAACAAUUGGUCUCAAUUCUUCAUAAAAUCGUCGGAACUCAUCACCAGCCUUUUAUGAAUCGCAUCCAAGCUAAGGAUGGCCUCUGUUUGUUUUGUUUGCAGUGACUGUCUUUAGAAGGAUUCCCCCUUACUUCAUCAUAUUUUUCAACCAGGGCUGAAUUUAUUGCUCCACAUAUUUAGAAACAUGUAUUUCUGCAAGGGAUGAAUGUAAAAUAAUAUGCCCUUUAGAGCCAGGGUCUACAAGGGAAUUUCUAGGCAGCGGGCUGAGAAAAGAGACCGCUCAAGGAGAAUAUUAAUGGCUGUGAUUACAAAGAGGGCGAGUAAUUGGUUCAAGGCGUAAGCAAAUAAAGAGGAAAAGCGAACAGAAGGGCUAACUGAGCCAUCAAAUGUGCCUCAAGAUUAGCAUCGUUCAGAAGGGACAUGCGUUAAAGGUGGAUUUUGCUUGAAAACAAACGCCACGUUGACUCUGUUCCAGAGUUGCCACAGCAUCCCUUUCAUUGGCCAAAGAAAAAUAUAAUAGCAUCCUGGAUUUAAGGAGUGGAAAGUCAGCUUCUAUCCUGCUAGGACGAGCCAAUAAGAUACCUCACAAGAAGAACGCUACUGGGAAGGGAAGGAAAAUUACAGGCAUCUGUCCAGUCUGCUACAUGCAUCAUGAAAGACUAGAGCACCUUGGAGUUGAGAGCUGGAUGAAACCCUUGUCUGCUAACAGGAAAAAUAAAUACAGGUGUUCCUUUUCCCAUCUUGGCGAAAGGUCUUGUUCCCUUAAUUCCAUUUUCAUUCUGUGUAAAAUGGAGGCAAAUAGUACUAUGUGCAAACCAACUAUGGAGAUGCCAAGUGUCUGUGCGUUUGUUAAAUCUAAAGGCACCGUUGCUGGAAGUGGGGAGAAAUAA
rnacentral:lncRNA from 1 species